UACGAAGGGGGCUAGCGUUGCUCGGAAUCACUGGGCGUAAAGCGCACGUAGGCGGAUUGUUAAGUCAGGGGUGAAAUCCUGGAGCUCAACUCCAGAACUGCCUUUGAUACUGGCGAAGUCUUGAGUCGGGAGAGGUGAGUGGAACUGCGAGUGUAGAGGUGAAAUUCGUAGAUAUUCGCAAGAACACCAGUGGCGAAGGCGGCUCACUGGCCGGUACUGACGCUGAGGUGCGAAAGCGUGGGGAGCAAACAGGG
rnacentral:rRNA from 1 species